UGACGAGUGGCGGACGGGUGAGUAAUGCUUGGGAAUCUGGCUUAUGGAGGGGGAUAACGACGGGAAACUGUCGCUAAUACCGCGUAGUGUCGAGAGACGAAAGUGCGGGACCUUCGGGCCGCAUGCCAUAGGAUGAGCCCAAGUGGGAUUAGGUAGUUGGUGGGGUAAAGGCCUACCAAGCCGACGAUGUCUAGGGGUUCUGAGAGGAAGGUCCCCCACACUGGAACUGAGACACGGUCCAG
rnacentral:rRNA from 1 species